rnacentral:rRNA from 1 species
CCUACGGGAGGCAGCAGUGGGGGAUAUUGCACAAUGGGGGAAACCCUGAUGCAGCGACGCCGCGUGAGUGAAGAAGUAUUUCGGUAUGUAAAGCUCUAUCAGCAGGGAAGAACAUGACAGUACCUGACCAACAAGCCCCUGCUAACUCCGUGCCAGCAGCCGCGGUCAUACGUAGGGGGCAAGCGUUAUCCGGAUUUACUGGGUGUAAAGGGAGCGUAGACGGUUUUGUAAGUCUGGAGUGAAAGCCCGGGGCCCAACCCCGGUACUGCUUUGGAAACUGUGUAACUGGAGUGCAUGAGGGGCAGGCGGAAUUCCUGGUGUAGGAGUGAAAGGCGUAGAUAUCAGGAGGAACACCGGCGGCGAAGGCGGCCUGCUGGACUGAAACUGACGUUGAGGCUCGAAAGCGUGGGGAGCAAACAGGAUUAGAUACCCGGGUAGUC